rnacentral:rRNA from 1 species
UGGGGAAUUUUCCGCAAUGGGCGAAAGCCUGACGGAGCAAGACCGCGUGGGGGAGGAAGGCUCUAGGGUUGUAAACCCCUUUUCUUUGGGAAGAAGAUCUGACGGUACCAAAGGAAUCAGCCUCGGCUAACUCCGUGCCAGCAGCCGCGGUAAUACGGAGGAGGCAAGCGUUAUCCGGAAUGAUUGGGCGUAAAGCGUCCGUAGAUGGCCAUGUAAGUCUGCUGUCAAAACCCAGGGCUCAACUCUGGUCAGGCAGUGGAAACUACAAAGCUAGAGUUUGGUAGGGGCAAAGGGAAUUCCCGGUGUAGCGGUGAAAUGCGUAGAUAUCGGGAAGAACAUCGGUGGCGAAAGCGCUUUGCUAGACCAAAACUGACAUUGAGGGACGAAAGCUAGGGGAGCGAAUGGG